rnacentral:rRNA from 1 species
GGGACACGUGGUAUCCUGUCUGAAUAUGGGGGGACCAUCCUCCAAGGCUAAAUACUCCUGACUGACCGAUAGUGAACCAGUACCGUGAGGGAAAGGCGAAAAGAACCCCGGCGAGGGGAGUGAAAAAGAACCUGAAACCGUGUACGUACAAGCAGUGGGAGCACGCUUAGGCGUGUGACUGCGUACCUUUUGUAUAAUGGGUCAGCGACUUAUAUUCUGUAGCAAGGUUAACCGAAUAGGGGAGCCGAAGGGAAACCGAGUCUUAACUGGGCGUUAAGUUGCAGGGUAUAGACCCGAAACCCGGUGAUCUAGCCAUGGGCAGGUUGAAGGUUGGGUAACACUAACUGGAGGACCGAACCGACUAAUGUUGAAAAAUUAGCGGAUGACUUGUGGCUGGGGGUGAAAGGCCAAUCAAACCGGGAGAUAGCUGGUUCUCCCCGAAAGCUAUUUAGGUAGCGCCUCGUGAAUUCAUCUCCGGGGGUAGAGCACUGUUUCGGCAAGGGGGUCAUCCCGACUUACCAACCCGAUGCAAACUGCGAAUACCGGAGAAUGUUAUCACGGGAGACACACGGCGGGUGCUAACGUCCGUCGUGAAGAGGGAAACAACCCAGACCGCCAGCUAAGGUCCCAAAGUCAUGGUUAAGUGGGAAACGAUGUGGGAAGGCCCAGACAGCCAGGAUGUUGGCUUAGAAGCAGCCAUCAUUUAAAGAAAGCGUAAUAGCUCACUGGUCGAGUCGGCCUGCGCGGAAGAUGUAACGGGGCUAAACCAUGCACCGAAGCUGCGGCAGCGACACUAUGUGUUGUUGGGUAGGGGAGCGUUCUGUAAGCCUGUGAAGGUGUGCUGUGAGGCAUGCUGGAGGUAUCAGAAGUGCGAAUGCUGACAUAAGUAACGAUAAAGCGGGUGAAAAGCCCGCUCGCCGGAAGACCAAGGGUUCCUGUCCAACGUUAAUCGGGGCAGGGUGAGUCGACCCCUAAGGCGAGGCCGAAAGGCGUAGUCGAUGGGAAACAGGUUAAUAUUCCUGUACUUGGUGUUACUGCGAAGGGGGGACGGAGAAGGCUAUGUUGGCCGGGCGACGGUUGUCCCGGUUUAAGCGUGUAGGCUGGUUUUCCAGGCAAAUCCGGAAAAUCAAGGCUGAGGCGUGAUGACGAGGCACUACGGUGCUGAAGCAACAAAUGCCCUGCUUCCAGGAAAAGCCUCUAAGCAUCAGGUAACAUCAAAUCGUACCCCAAACCGACACAGGUGGUCAGGUAGAGAAUACCAAGGCGCUUGAGAGAACUCGGGUGAAGGAACUAGGCAAAAUGGUGCCGUAACUUCGGGAGAAGGCACGCUGAUAUGUAGGUGAAGUCCCUUGCGGAUGGAGCUGAAAUCAGUCGAAGAUACCAGCUGGCUGCAACUGUUUAUUAAAAACACAGCACUGUGCAAACACGAAAGUGGACGUAUACGGUGUGACGCCUGCCCGGUGCCGGAAGGUUAAUUGAUGGGGUCAGCGCAAGCGAAGCUCUUGAUCGAAGCCCCGGUAAACGGCGGCCGUAACUAUAACGGUCCUAAGGUAGCGAAAUUCCUUGUCGGGUAAGUUCCGACCUGCACGAAUGGCGUAAUGAUGGCCAGGCUGUCUCCACCCGAGACUCAGUGAAAUUGAACUCGCUGUGAAGAUGCAGUGUACCCGCGGCAAGACGGAAAGACCCCGUGAACCUUUACUAUAGCUUGACACUGAACAUUGAGCCUUGAUGUGUAGGAUAGGUGGGAGGCUUGGAAGUGUGGACGCCAGUCUGCAUGGAGCCGACCUUGAAAUACCACCCUUUAAUGUUUGAUGUUCUAACGUUGACCCGUAAUCCGGGUUGCGGACAGUGUCUGGUGGGUAGUUUGACUGGGGCGGUCUCCUCCUAAAGAGUAACGGAGGAGCACGAAGGUUGGCUAAUCCUGGUCGGACAUCAGGAGGUUAGUGCAAUGGCAUAAGCCAGCUUGACUGCGAGCGUGACGGCGCGAGCAGGUGCGAAAGCAGGUCAUAGUGAUCCGGUGGUUCUGAAUGGAAGGGCCAUCGCUCAACGGAUAAAAGGUACUCCGGGGAUAACAGGCUGAUACCGCCCAAGAGUUCAUAUCGACGGCGGUGUUUGGCACCUCGAUGUCGGCUCAUCACAUCCUGGGGCUGAAGUAGGUCCCAAGGGUAUGGCUGUUCGCCAUUUAAAGUGGUACGCGAGCUGGGUUUAGAACGUCGUGAGACAGUUCGGUCCCUAUCUGCCGUGGGCGCUGGAGAACUGAGGGGGGCUGCUCCUAGUACGAGAGGACCGGAGUGGACGCAUCACUGGUGUUCGGGUUGUCAUGCCAAUGGCACUGCCCGGUAGCUAAAUGCGGAAGAGAUAAGUGCUGAAAGCAUCUAAGCACGAAACUUGCC